CACCUCCUUAGAGUUUGAUCCUGGCUCAGGACGAACGCUGGCGGCGUGCUUAACACAUGCAAGUCGAACGAUGAACCGCUUUCGGGCGGGGAUUAGUGGCGAACGGGUGAGUAACACGUGGGCAAUCUGCCCUGCACUCUGGGACAAGCCCUGGAAACGGGGUCUAAUACCGGAUAUGACCGUCUGCCGCAUGGUGGAUGGUGUAAAGCUCCGGCGGUGCAGGAUGAGCCCGCGGCCUAUCAGCUUGUUGGUGAGGUAGUGGCUCACCAAGGCGACGACGGGUAGCCGGCCUGAGAGGGCGACCGGCCACACUGGGACUGAGACACGGCCCAGACUCCUACGGGAGGCAGCAGUGGGGAAUAUUGCACAAUGGGCGAAAGCCUGAUGCAGCGACGCCGCGUGAGGGAUGACGGCCUUCGGGUUGUAAACCUCUU
rnacentral:rRNA from 1 species